rnacentral:rRNA from 1 species
CCUACGGGAGGCAGCAGUGAGGAAUAUUGGUCAAUGGACGAGAGUCUGAACCAGCCAAGUAGCGUGAAGGAUGACUGCCCUAUGGGUUGUAAACUUCUGUUAUAUGGGAAUAAAAUGUUCCACGUGUGGGAUUUUGUAUGUACCAUAUGAAUAAGGAUCGGCUAACUCCGUGCCAGCAGCCGCGGUAAUACGGAGGAUCCGAGCGUUAUCCGGAUUUAGUGGGGUUAACGGGAGCGUAGGGGGAUUGUUAAGUCAGUGGUGAAAGUUUGCGGCUCAACCGUAAAAUUGCAGUUGAAACGGGCAGUCUUGAGUACAGUAGCGGUGGGCGGUAUUCGUGGUGUCGCGGU